AGCAGCCGCGGUAAUUCCAGCUCCAAUAGCGUAUAUUAAAGUUGUUGCAGUUAAAAGCUCGUAGUUGAAUUUCGGGAUUGACACAUCGGUCGUGCCUUAAGGGGUAUGAACUGGUGUAGUCAAUUUCUCACCUUCUGGAGAACCGCGAUGCCCUUAAUUGGGUGCCGCGGGGAACCAGGACCUUUACUUUGAAAAAUUAGAGUGUUUAAAGCAGGCAUUUUGCUUGAAUACAUUAGCAUGGAAUAAUAAAAUAGGACGGCAUGAUUCUAUUUUGUUGGUUUCUAGGAUCACCGUAAUGAUUAAUAGGGAUAGUUGGGGGCAUUAGUAUUCAAUUGUCAGAGGUGAAAUUCUUGGAUUUAUUGAAGACUAACUACUGCGAAAGCAUUUGCCAAGGAUGUUUUCAUUAAUCAAGAACGAAAGUUAGGGAUCGAAGACGAUCAGAUACCGUCGUAGUCUUAACCAUAAACUAUGCCGACUAGGAAUCAGACGAUGUUAAUUUUUAAUGUACUCGUUUGGCACC
rnacentral:misc_RNA from 1 species